UACUAGAGUAGCACUCGCAUAUCAAUAAGCGGAGGAAAAGAAACUAACAAGGAUUCCCCUAGUAACGGCGAGUGAAGCGGGAAGAGCUCAAAUUUGAAAUCUUAAAGGGUUUCCCUUUACGAAUUGUAGUUUAAAGAAGUGUUUUCUGUUGAGGUUUUGGUAAAAGUUCUUUGGAAUAGGACAUCAUAGAGGGUGAGAAUCCCGUAUUUGACCUUUACUUUCAACUUUGUGAUACACUUUCAAAGAGUCGGAUUGUUUGGGAAUGCAGUCCAAAAUGGGUGGUAAAUUUCAUCUAAAGCUAAAUAUUGGCGAGAGACCGAUAGCGAACAAGUACCGUGAGGGAAAGAUGAAAAGAACUUUGAAAAGAGAGUUAAACAGUACGUGAAAUUGUCAAAAGGGAAGCGUUUGACACCAGUGUUGUUUUUCUGAAAUCAAUUAAAGAACUGUUUAUGCUAAGUUGUUUAGACUUUAUCAGCUAACUGUUUAGUUUUGAGCUUUUCUUUAAUGCACUUUUCAGUUAACAAGUCAACAUCAAUUUCUUUUGCUGUAAAAAAGCUUGAGGAAGGUGGCUUGAGAUUCGUCUUAAGUGUUUAUAGCCUCUUGCCUAUGCAGUCGGAGAGAUUGAGGUCUGCAGCGUAGAUCCUUCGGGGCUAAAUGCAUUUGUGCUAAGUUAUAGCAUUUUAUAGACAACUUGUUGACUAUGAUUUGUCUUGUAGCUUACUCGCUUAUGUUAUUUUACCUACGCUUAGGAUGUUGAGCGCAUGUCUCUCUCU
rnacentral:rRNA from 1 species